rnacentral:rRNA from 1 species
GUGGGGAAUCUUGCCCAAUGGGCGCAAGCCUGAGGCAGCAACGCCGCGUGCGGGAAGAAGGCCCUAGGGUUGUAAACCGCUUUCGCCAGGGACGAAAAUGACGGUACCUGGAGAAGAAGGUGCGGCCAACUACGUGCCAGCAGCCGCGGUGACACGUAGGCACCAAGCGUUGUCCGGAUUUAUUGGGCGUAAAGAGCUCGUAGGCGGUUCGGUUAGUCGGGUGUGAAAUCCUUGGGCUUAACCCAAGAACUGCACCCGAUACUGCUGUGACUCGAGUCCGGUAGAGGAGUGUGGAAUUCCUGGUGUAGCGGUGGAAUGCGCAGAUAUCAGGAGGAACACCAACGGCGAAGGCAGCACUCUGGGCCGGUACUGACGCUGAGGAGCGAAAGCGUGGGGAGCGAACAGGAUUAGAUACCCGAGUAGUCC